UUGGCACAGGCAGAGGUGGUCUGGCUGAAGGGUUGGAGUGUAAUCAUUACAUUUUAUUCGUUUGACAUUGUUACACUGAAACAAUUCUUUGUUCCACAUUAAAUGUAGAAAAUAAAAAAGGUUGGGACGGCGCUGGAUUUUCAAGGUGCAAUCGGCACGUUUUUUGACUGAGCGACUGACUUCUACAUAAUAAGACAAUGUGCAAGAAUCCAGUAUAUCAUGAUUUUGGUGACACCUUUGGCAGCACGCUUUGACCAAAGGGAGUUUUGUCGACAGUGGGGCCCGAGGAUAAGCAAGCGGGGGCUGAACCUGUUCCGGCCUGCACUGCCCUCUGCAGCACCUCUGAUCCACACUCAGUCAAAUUUCUCCGAGCGCUGCUGGAUCACACGGGUUAAUCUCUCCUGACCCCCGACUCCUCAAAAGCACAAGCCUGGCUCUUUUGGACUCGGUCCCGGUGUGAGUGCUUUGCAGUGCCAUGGAAGUAGACCCCGCUCACGUCCCCUAGUUCACUGGCACCAGUUGUGCAGACUUCGGAGCAGUGAAGAUAAGGUACAAGAAUGUCAGGAAGCCUGACACCAAUGAGCAGUAUGGUAAACAAACAGUUGCAGACGUCUGCCCGCAUCCCCUGCCCCUUAACGACCCUCAAUUCCACCCUUUUAAAUGUCAAGCUGUAAAAUAUGGUUCUUCAGUGGGACUGUUAGUUAAACAAAUCACGCUGCAUUAACUAAACUGUCAAACAUUUGAGCGUCAAUUUUUUUUGUUAUUACUGAAUCAUGCCUGAUUUUAAGUUGUGUCAAAAAGCAAAGUUUAAUAACACAAAUAAGACUUAAUAUAGCUGAGACAUAAUACAAUCACUGCAUAACAUUUACUAGGUUUUACAGACAAUAUUAUGUAUAUUAUAAUAAUAUGUUCUGAUUUUUUGUAUGAGAUUAAUUGAGAUGUUUCUAUGUUUUAAUUGUAACAACUUGCCUCCUGAUGCUGCCUUUUUGGCCAAGUCGUUAUUGUAAAUGAGAAUUGGUUCUCAAUUGACUUAUCUGGUUAAAUAAAGCUAAAAAAAAAUAUUAAAGAAAUUAA